GAGGGGACAGCUCAGGGGUAGGGUGCGUGCUUAGCAUGCACGAGGUCCUGGGUUCCAUCCCCGGAACCUUCA
rnacentral:tRNA from 1 species